rnacentral:rRNA from 1 species
UACGGGGGGGGCAAGCGUUGUUCGGAAUUACUGGGCGUAAAGGGCUCGUAGGCGGCCAACUAAGUCAGACGUGAAAUCCCUCGGCUUAACCGGGGAACUGCGUCUGAUACUGGAUGGCUUGAGUGUGGGAGAGGAAUGCGGAAUUCCAGGUGUAGCGGUGAAAUGCGUAGAUAUCUGGAGGAACACCGGUGGCGAAGGCGGCAUUCUGGACCAUUACUGACGCUGAGGCGCGAAAGCGUGGGGAGCAAACAGG